UGGGGAAUUUUCCGCAAUGGGCGAAAGCCUGACGGAGCAAUACCGCGUGAGGGAGGAAGGCUUUUGGGUUGUAAACCUCUUUUUUCAAGGAAGAAGCAAGUGACGGUACUUGAAGAAUCAGCAUCGGCUAACUCCGUGCCAGCAGCCGCGGUAAUACGGAGGAUGCAAGCGUUAUCCGGAAUCAUUGGGCGUAAAGCGUCCGCAGGUGGCUGUUCAAGUCUGCUGUCAAAGACAGAAGCUUAACUUCUGAAAGGCAGUGGAAACUGGAGAGCUAGAGUACGGUAGGGGUUGAGGGAAUUCCCAGUGUAGCGGUGAAAUGCGUAGAUAUUGGGAAGAACACCAGUGGCGAAGGCGCUCAACUGGGCCGUAACUGACACUCAGGGACGAAAGCUAGGGGAGCGAAAGGGAUUAGAUACCCGCGUAGUCC
rnacentral:rRNA from 1 species